rnacentral:rRNA from 1 species
AAUGAACGUUGGCGGCGUGGAUUAGGCAUGCAAGUCGAGCGAGAACCCGCAAGGGGGACAGCGGCAAACGGGGUAGUAAUGUGUCGGAACGUGCCCUCUGGACGGGGAUAGCGGCGGGAAACUGCCGGUAAUACCCGAUGAACUCGAGAGAGCAAAGGUGUGAUUCCGCCGGAGGAGCGGCCGACAUGGUAUUAGAUAGUUGGCGGGGUAACGGCCCACCAAGGCUUUGAUGCCUAGGGGAUGUGAGAGCAUGAUCCCCACCAUUGGGACUGAGACACUGCCCAGACACCUACGGGUGGCUGCAGUCGAGAAUCUUCGUCAAUGGGCGAAAGCCUGAACGAGCGACGCCGCGUGUGGGAUGAAGGCCUUUGGGUUGUAAACCACUGUCGAGGGGGAUGAAGGCUUGAAGGUACUCCUUCAAGUUUGACAGAGCCCUGGAGGAAGCACGGGCUAAGUUCGUGCCAGCAGCCGCAGUAAGAC